rnacentral:tRNA from 1 species
GUUUUUAUAGUUAAAAAAAAAUAUUGGUCUUGUAAACCAAAGUUAAGUUAGAUACUUUAAAAACU